rnacentral:rRNA from 1 species
AACGAACGCUGGCGGCAUGCCUAACACAUGCAAGUCGAACGAGACCUUCGGGUCUAGUGGCGCACGGGUGCGUAACGCGUGGGAAUCUGCCCUUGGGUUCGGAAUAACUCAGAGAAAUUUGAGCUAAUACCGGAUGAUGACGUAAGUCCAAAGAUUUAUCGCCCAAGGAUGAGCCCGCGUAAGAUUAGCUAGUUGGUGAGGUAAAGGCUCACCAAGGCGACGAUCUUUAGCUGGUCUGAGAGGAUGAUCAGCCACACUGGGACUGAGACACGGCCCAGACUCCUACGGGAGGCAGCAGUGGGGAAUAUUGGACAAUGGGCGAAAGCCUGAUCCAGCAAUGCCGCGUGAGUGAUGAAGGCCUUAGGGUUGUAAAGCUCUUUUACCAGGGAUGAUAAUGACAGUACCUGGAGAAUAAGCUCCGGCUAACUCCGUGCCAGCAGCCGCAGUAAGAC